rnacentral:rRNA from 1 species
UUUAACUGAAGAGUUUGAUCAUGGCUCAGAUUGAACGCUGGCGGCAGGCUUAACACAUGCAAGUCGAGCGGGGGAAGGUAGCUUGCUACCGGACCUAGCGGCGGACGGGUGAGUAAUGCUUAGGAAUCUGCCUAUUAGUGGGGGACAACAUCUCGAAAGGGAUGCUAAUACCGCAUACGUCCUACGGGAGAAAGCAGGGGAUCUUCGGACCUUGCGCUAAUAGAUGAGCCUAAGUCGGAUUAGCUAGUUGGUGGGGUAAAGGCCUACCAAGGCGACGAUCUGUAGCGGGUCUGA